GGCGAAAAGAACCCCGGCGAGGGGAGUGAAAAAGAACCUGAAACCGUGUACGUACAAGCAGUGGGAGCACCCUUUGGGGUGUGACUGCGUACCUUUUGUAUAAUGGGUCAGCGACUUAUAUUCUGUAGCAAGGUUAACCGAAUAGGGGAGCCGGAGGGAAACCGAGUCUUAAUUGGGCGUUAAGUUGCAGGGUAUAGACCCGAAACCCGGUGAUCUAGCCAUGGGCAGGUUGAAGGUUGGGUAACACUAACUGGAGGACCGAACCGACUAAUGUUGAAAAAUUAGCGGAUGACCUGUGGCUGGGGGUGAAAGGCCAAUCAAACCGGGAGAUAGCUGGUUCUCCCCGAAAGCUAUUUAGGUAGCGCCUCGUGAAUUCAUCUCCGGGGGUAGAGCACUGUUUCGGCUAGGGGGCCAUCCCGGCUUACCAACCCGAUGCAAACUGCGAAUACCGGAGAAUGUUAUCACGGGAGACACACGGCGGGUGCUAACGUCCGUCGUGAAGAGGGAAACAACCCAGACCGCCAGCUAAGGUCCCAAAGUCAUGGUUAAGUGGGAAACGAUGUGGGAAGGCCCAGACAGCCAGGAUGUUGGCUUAGAAGCAGCCAUCAUUUAAAGAAAGCGUAAUAGCUCACUGGUCGAGUCGGCCUGCGCGGAAGAUGUAACGGGGCUAAACCAUGCACCGAAGCUGCGGCAGCGACGCUGAUGCGUUGUUGGGUAGGGGAGCGUUCUGUAAGCCUGCGAAGGUGGCCUGUGAGGGUUGCUGGAGGUAUCAGAAGUGCGAAUGCUGACAUAAGUAACGAUAAAGCGGGUGAAAAGCCCGCUCGCCGGAAGACCAAGGGUUCCUGUCCAACGUUAAUCGGGGCAGGGUGAGUCGACCCCUAAGGCGAGGCCGAAAGGCGUAGUCGAUGGGAAACGGGUUAAUAUUCCCGUACUUGGUGUUACUGCGAAGGGGGGACGGAGAAGGCUAUGUUGGCCGGGCGACGGUUGUCCCGGUUUAAGCGUGUAGGUGUGUGUUCCAGGUAAAUCCGGUUCACUUUAACACUGAGGCGUGAUGACGAGGCACUACGGUGCUGAAGCAACAAAUGCCCUGCUUCCAGGAAAAGCCUCUAAGCAUCAGGUAACAUCAAAUCGUACCCCAAACCGACACAGGUGGUCAGGUAGAGAAUACCAAGGCGCUUGAGAGAACUCGGGUGAAGGAACUAGGCAAAAUGGUGCCGUAACUUCGGGAGAAGGCACGCUGACACGUAGGUGAAGUGAUUUACUCAUGGAGCUGAAGUCAGUCGAAGAUACCAGCUGGCUGCAACUGUUUAUUAAAAACACAGCACUGUGCAAACACGAAAGUGGACGUAUACGGUGUGACGCCUGCCCGGUGCCGGAAGGUUAAUUGAUGGGGUCAGCGCAAGCGAAGCUCCUGAUCGAAGCCCCGGUAAACGGCGGCCGUAACUAUAACGGUCCUAAGGUAGCGAAAUUCCUUGUCGGGUAAGUUCCGACCUGCACGAAUGGCGUAAUGAUGGCCAGGCUGUCUCCACCCGAGACUCAGUGAAAUUGAACUCGCUGUGAAGAUGCAGUGUACCCGCGGCAAGACGGAAAGACCCCGUGAACCUUUACUAUAGCUUGACACUGAACAUUGAGCCUUGAUGUGUAGGAUAGGUGGGAGGCUUUGAAGUGUGGACGCCAGUCUGCAUGGAGCCGGCCUUGAAAUACCACCCUUUAAUGUUUGAUGUUCUAACGUGGACCCGUGAUCCGGGUUGCGGACAGUGUCUGGUGGGUAGUUUGACUGGGGCGGUCUCCUCCUAAAGAGUAACGGAGGAGCACGAAGGUUGGCUAAUCCUGGUCGGACAUCAGGAGGUUAGUGCAAUGGCAUAAGCCAGCUUGACUGCGAGCGUGACGGCGCGAGCAGGUGCGAAAGCAGGUCAUAGUGAUCCGGUGGUUCUGAAUGGAAGGGCCAUCGCUCAACGGAUAAAAGGUACUCCGGGGAUAACAGGCUGAUACCGCCCAAGAGUUCAUAUCGACGGCGGUGUUUGGCACCUCGAUGUCGGCUCAUCACAUCCUGGGGCUGAAGUAGGUCCCAAGGGUAUGGCUGUUCGCCAUUUAAAGUGGUACGCGAGCUGGGUUUAGAACGUCGUGAGACAGUUCGGUCCCUAUCUGCCGUGGGCGCUGGAGAACUGAGGGGGGCUGCUCCUAGUACGAGAGGACCGGAGUGGACGCAUCACUGGUGUUCGGGUUGUCAUGCCAAUGGCACUGCCCGGUAGCUAAAUGCGGAAGAGAUAAGUGCUGAAAGCAUCUAAGCACGAAACUUGCCCCGAGAUGAGUUCUCCCUGAGACUUAGAGUCUCCUGAAGGAACGUUGAAGACGACGACGUUGAUAGGCCGGGUGUGUAAGCGCAGCGAUGCGUUGAGCUAACCGGUACUAAUGAACCGUGAGGCUUAACCUUACAACGCCGAAG
rnacentral:rRNA from 1 species